ACGCUGGCGGCAGGCCUAACACAUGCAAGUCGAACGGUAACAGGAAGCAGCUUGCUGCUUCGCUGACGAGUGGCGGACGGGUGAGUAAUGUCUGGGAAACUGCCUGAUGGAGGGGGAUAACUACUGGAAACGGUGGCUAAUACCGCAUAACGUCGCAAGACCAAAGAGGGGGACCUUCGGGCCUCUUGCCAUCAGAUGUGCCCAGAUGGGAUUAGCUUGUUGGUGAGGUAACGGCUCACCAAGGCGACGAUCCCUAGCUGGUCUGAGAGGAUGACCAGCCACACUGGAACUGAGACACGGUCCAGACUCCUACGGGAGGCAGCAGUGGGGAAUAUUGCACAAUGGGCGCAAGCCUGAUGCAGCCAUGCCGCGUGUAUGAAGAAGGCCUUCGGGUUGUAAAGUACUUUCAGCGGGGAGGAAGGUGUUGUGGUUAAUAACCGCAGCAAUUGACGUUACCCGCAGAAGAAGCACCGGCUAACUCCGUGCCAGCAGCCGCGGUAAUACGGAGGGUGCAAGCGUUAAUCGGAAUUACUGGGCGUAAAGCGCACGCAGGCGGUCUGUCAAGUCGGAUGUGAAAUCCCCGGGCUCAACCUGGGAACUGCAUUCGAAACUGGCAGGCUUGAGUCUUGUAGAGGGGGGUAGAAUUCCAGGUGUAGCGGUGAAAUGCGUAGAGAUCUGGAGGAAUACCGGUGGCGAAGGCGGCCCCCUGGACAAAGACUGACGCUCAGGUGCGAAAGCGUGGGGAGCAAACAGGAUUAGAUACCCUGGUAGUCCACGCCGUAAACGAUGUCUACUUGGAGGUUGUGCCCUUGAGGCGUGGCUUCCGGAGCUAACGCGUUAAGUAGACCGCCUGGGGAGUACGGCCGCAAGGUUAAAACUCAAAUGAAUUGACGGGGGCCCGCACAAGCGGUGGAGCAUGUGGUUUAAUUCGAUGCAACGCGAAGAACCUUACCUGGUCUUGACAUCCACAGAACUUUCCAGAGAUGGAUUGGUGCCUUCGGGAACUGUGAGACAGGUGCUGCAUGGCUGUCGUCAGCUCGUGUUGUGAAAUGUUGGGUUAAGUCCCGCAACGAGCGCAACCCUUAUCCUUUGUUGCCAGCGGUCCGGCCGGGAACUCAAAGGAGACUGCCAGUGAUAAACUGGAGGAAGGUGGGGAUGACGUCAAGUCAUCAUGGCCCUUACGACCAGGGCUACACACGUGCUACAAUGGCGCAUACAAAGAGAAGCGACCUCGCGAGAGCAAGCGGACCUCAUAAAGUGCGUCGUAGUCCGGAUUGGAGUCUGCAACUCGACUCCAUGAAGUCGGAAUCGCUAGUAAUCGUGGAUCAGAAUGCCACGGUGAAUACGUUCCCGGGCCUUGUACACACCGCCCGUCACACCAUGGGAGUGGGUUGCAAAAGAAGUAGGUAGCUUAACCUUCGGGAGGGCGCUUACCACUUUGUGAUUCAUGACUGGGGUGAAGUCGUAACAAGGUAACCGUAGGGGAACCUGC
rnacentral:rRNA from 1 species